AGCAAGCGCUCGCGUGGAUUUGGUCGGGGCGAAGAACCGCGUGCUUCUUUCUCCCCCCCUUGACCCCUUUGGAAGAGCAGAGCAGGGUUUCCGUUUGGAAACUCGCGGGGUGAGGCUCGUGUGCUGUCCUGCACGUGGGGACGUUCGGGGCUGGGCUCGCAGCCUGGCCACUCUGGGGCAGACCCCAUUCCGGGAGGGAGGCGAGGCAGGCGGGGCUGGGGAGAGCGACGCCGGGUCGAGUUUAAGGGGCCAUCCCUUCCCGUCGGGUCAUUUCUGCCGUACCCACCGUCCGGUCCCGGGGAGGGAAGCUCCGGACCUCAGCGCACAACCGCCGCUCGGUCCGAAGAGAGGAGGGAACGGCAAGCAGGCGUCCCCUUAACCCGCCCGAAGACAGGCCUUCAGAGUCCAGCCUCGAUCCCCAAGAGAGAGGGAGACAGAACGAUCACCAGGAGAGGCAGAGAGUGCCCAGAAGUGGAGACCACUGAGCCAGGAAGAGGAGGAAGGGAGAAGAUAAACAAGGGAGAAGCCUUGAUGGCUGUCAUCAUCACCAUCAUCACGGCUUUCAUUUGGCUGCCUAAUGAGUCAGAUCACAGGCAGAGAGAAAAAUUGUCAAUCGCCCAGACUCUAAUGAAUUUUUUUGCAAAUUGUAAUCAAGCCAGGCCGUCUCAGCUGGCUGAUUAAUGAGACCCACGAGGCUUGGCCAGCACCUCAGCUUUUUAUUCCAUCCCGUCCUCCCUGCACUAAAUUAACAGCAACUUGUCUGAGCUUCAAAUUAACUCCCAAUGAUUAAUUCUGAUGGGGGGGCCUGAAGAAUAGCUCCGUCUAAUAGGCACUGGCCUGCGAGGCGGCUGGAAAUUAAUACACUUCCCCUUUGGCUGCCGGCUUUAAUCCAAGGUUGGGCUUUGACAUCACUAUAUUUGUUGUUACAAUAAAUUCCACUUACAUCUGCAGAUCAAAAUCAUUACAAUGCCAGGGGAGCGACACGACCGGGGUCCAAGGAGUGGACCUGACCGUUAAGCUAAGGCUCCAUCUCCCAGCCCAGCUCGACAGGCCUCAGUCCUUCCAGGAGGCCCCCAGCCAGCAUCUGCCCCCCUGCCUGACCCCUCCUCCCCCUCACACGAGUAGAGCCUCCGC
rnacentral:lncRNA from 1 species